UACAGAGGGUGCAAGCGUUAAUCGGAAUUACUGGGCGUAAAGCGUGCGUAGACGGUUAUUUAAGUCAGGUGUGAAAGCUCCGGGCUCAACCUGGGAAUUGCAUUUGAGACUGAAUAGCUAGGGUGCGGAAGAGGGAAGCGGAAUUUCCGGUGUAGCGGUGAAAUGCGUAGAUAUGCGGAGGAACACCGAUGGCGAAGGCAAUCCCCUGGGCCUGUACUGACGCUCAUGCACGAAAGCGUGGGGAGCAAACAGG
rnacentral:rRNA from 1 species